rnacentral:rRNA from 1 species
GACGAACGCUGGCGGCGUGCCUAAUACAUGCAAGUAGAACGCUGAAGCUUGGUGCUUGCACCGAGCGGAUGAGUUGCGAACGGGUGGGUAACGCGUAGGUAACCUGCCUGGUAGCGGGGGAUAACUAUUGGAAACGAUAGCUAAUACCGCAUAAGAGUAGAUGUUGCAUGACAUUUGCUUAAAAGGUGCAAUUGCAUCACUACCAGAUGGACCUGCGUUGUAUUAGCUAGUUGUUGAGGUAACGGCUCACCAAGGCAACGAUACAUAGCCGACCUGAUAGGGUGAUCGGCCACACUGGGACUGAGACACGGCCCAGACUCCUACGGGAGGCAGCAGUAGGGAAUCUUCGGCAAUGGACGGAAGUCUGACCGAGCAACGCCGCGUGAGUGAAGAAGGUUUUCGGAUCGUAAAGCUCUGUUGUAAGAGAAGAACGAGUGUGAGAGUGGAAAGUUCACACUGUGACGGUAUCUUACCAGAAAGGGACGGCUAACUACGUG